rnacentral:rRNA from 1 species
UACGAAGGGGGCUAGCGUUGCUCGGAAUUACUGGGCGUAAAGCGCACGUAGGCGGCUUCUUAAGUCGGUGGUGAAAUCCUGGAGCUCAACUCCAGAACUGCCUUCGAUACUGGGAAGCUCGAGUCCGGGAGAGGUGAGCGGAACUGCGAGUGUAGAGGUGAAAUUCGUAGAUAUUCGCAAGAACACCAGUGGCGAAGGCGGCUCACUGGACAUGUAUUGACGCUGAGGUGCGAAAGCGUGGGGAGCAAACAGG